GAUGAACGCUAGCGGCAGGCUUAAUACAUGCAAGUCAAGGGGGUAGCAAUACAACCGGCGCACGGGUGAGUAACGCGUACACAACAUACCAUAUACUGGGGUAUAGCUUUGGGAAACGUGAAGGUAAUCCCCAUAACAUUGCGAGAGGGCAUCUGAUUGCAAUUAAAGUUUCGGCGGUAUAUGAUUGGUGUGCGUUUGAUUAGCUAGUUGGUAGGGUAACGGCCUACCAAGGCGACGAUCAAUAGCUGGCGUGAGAGCGCGACCAGCCACACUGGAACUGAGACACGGUCCAGACUCCUACGGGAGGCAGCAGUAGGGAAUAUUGGAC
rnacentral:rRNA from 1 species